CGCUGAUAUAAAAUGCAAUAUUUCAAGGAGCUGAAGGGCUUUUAUUCGGAGCAGAGCAGCAGCGCCGGAGAGCAAAGAAACCGACAGGAAAGAAGGAGAGAAAAAGGAAAAAUAAAGACGCGGUUAUUGUUCGCGUUUGGCUUUCGGCGACGUGAAAAAAGGAGCUGCAGUCUCUCUGAAGGCCCUGGGCGUCGUGUCUCUUUGACCUCCCUAUUGAACACGCUCGCCCCUCAUCAUUAUCCUCAUUCCGCCUGCGGUCUCCAUCGCUCGUGCCUUCUUCUCCCCAAAGCACUGAGAUCUUUACCCAAGCAGCUCCGGGACACAGACGCAGUUAUAAACCACACGAAACAUGGAGCAAAGUGGGGGUAAAACAAGAGAGAGAUUGGAGUCAGUCAGUGCGGCGUUCGUCUUCAUGGCGGAAAUAACCAAACAAAACCGGACACACGGUUUUCUGUGGAAACUCCUGAAUGAAUUUGUUUGUGCUCGAGGAGUCUGAUGAAGACGAGAGACUGCGGUGUAUCAGGUGGAUGUGUG
ensembl:lncRNA